AACGAACGCUGGCGGCAGGCUUAACACAUGCAAGUCGAACGGAUCCUUCGGGAUUAGUGGCAGACGGGUGAGUAACGCGUGGGAACGUACCCUUUGCUACGGAAUAACUCAGGGAAACUUGAGCUAAUACCGUAUGUGCCCUACGGGGGAAAGAUUUAUCGGCAAAGGAUCGGCCCGCGUUGGAUUAGCUAGUUGGUGGGGUAAUGGCCUACCAAGGCGACGAUCCAUAGCUGGUCUGAGAGGAUGAUCAGCCACACUGGGACUGAGACACGGCCCAGACUCCUACGGGAGGCAGCAGUGGGGAAUAUUGGACAAUGGGCGCAAGCCUGAUCCAGCCAUGCCGCGUGAGUGAUGAAGGUCUUAGGAUUGUAAAGCUCUUUCACCGGUGAAGAUAAUGACGGUAGCCGGAGAAGAAGCCACGGCUAACUACGUG
rnacentral:rRNA from 1 species